CAUCGCUUAUCUCGGGCGGCAAGAGGGAAACAGAUAAAAGCCCGGCAAUAGUUUGAGGACAGGGAAAGGUUCAAGUCCUUUGUAGGACUGUCACUGAACGAGUUUGUGUGCAGCACAGGGCUUUGACAUUACAGUCCGUGUAGGUCUUGUGUACAUAACCCUCGGUUGUCUUUGUCUCCAUCGAGUAGAGUAGAGCCAGUCAAGAUGGCGACCUUCCAGCUGAGACUGCUGAUGUGGCUGAUAGUUCUGUGCACCAUGGUUGCUCAAGUUGAUGGACGUGGAGGAUCUUUUCGUGGAGGGAGUUCUUUACGAGGAAGUUCAAGAAUAUCCAUUACCGCUGGGAGGACCUAUUAUUCAUCGAGCAGUUCCGGCGGCUCGUUGAAGACAGGACAGAUCGUCGGCAUCGUGUGCGGGAUCGUCGGAGGAAGCAUCAUCAUCGUCCUUAUCCCGGUCCUCGUCAAGUGCAUCUGCAGUAGAAGAAGGGCGCCGACAGGGGAGCCAGCAGUUCAAACUGUCAAGUACAACUGCGAAAAUAGUGUCAUCGCACCUCCGCCAUCUUACACUGAUGCUGUGUCCGACCAUCCAGCCCCCUGGACAGUCACAAGCCCGCAGCUCGACCCUCCCAAGUUCCCGCCUCCCGAGCCAACGGCGUAUGGUUACCCCGGGGAUAACCGACAUGGGGAGACCACCCUUCCGUACCCACCUGUUCCAACGGUCUACCCACCUGUUAACAAUUGACGGAGUGAAAGCAGUGUUUUGUCUUCUGUGAUCUUCUGUUCGCAACGAUCUUCCAAAAGAAAAUUGUAGAAAAUAUCUUUAAUUUAUUUUGCAAACUCUUAUUCGUAUUAUUUUGAUGUCUGGAGGGAUGAAAACUAAUUUGAUUCCAGACGAAAAGGAGUGGCUGAAUUAUUUUUCCUUAUCUUUUUAAUUGAUAUUCUUAAAAUAUUUAAAAAAUCUUAUUAAUUCAUAUUUUUACAAUUUUUUUGAAGUUAAGCAUCGUCCCUUAUUUACUCUGUCGGAUGUGUUAUAACUGCCUGUCGUUCACAACGAAGUCUAAGCACGUGACAUUCUUGUUGGGUUAGAAAUGUCAAACACAUAUUCUAAAACUGCAGAAACCCUUCAGCAUUAUUUUUCUUGACCAAAUAUCAAGGGGGAUAAUUUUUUGGAUUAUCUGUGAGUGUUUCUUCUUGCUUUUUAAAAAAAAAUUUUUCUGAUAAGAUUUAUCAGAGCUGUAAUUUUUACAUCGAAAUCUCAUUGUCUCUUUUGAACAUAAUUGCUGUGAACUAAUAUUUGGUCGUGUGGUAGUAUGUUUGGGUUGUAAUGAAAGUACUUAAGAAGUGAUCAGAAGAAAAGGUGAAUGUUUGGGAUUAGAGGAGGCUCACCUGUGUGUGUCCGCGCUCUACAUGGAGGGGUCACGUGUGUAGGUGUGUCAGGUUUAACUACACAUUCAGCAAUGAGUCUUCUGAACAAGUUUUGAGAUAUGUAAUUCAAUGUAUGUAUAACUUUGUAAAAAUUGUGUAGGAUACAGCUUGUUUAUUUUGUUUAUCUGGCCUGUGUGUACAGUGGGUUACGAAUGUGUGAGGUAGCAAACGUUUUGUGAUAGAUGAAUCCUUGUCUGUUUGCACCACAUGAGCAUAUCAUGAUAUAAUAUACCUUUUAUUAAGCUCACUUACUUUGUUCUGUACUUUCUGGAGUUUGUGAAGAAGGUAUUCAGGGCAGCCAGCAAGCAAGGAGUUGCAGUAAUCAAGUCUGGAUAAAACAAACACACAGACAAGAUGUUGGUAGCGCGGGUAGACAGAAUGUGAUGGAGGGUGCUGGUCUUGUAUAGUUCAUAAUAGAUAGACUGACAGACAGCUGUAACUUGUCUAUGAUAAUAGACAGACAAACAGCUGUAACUUAUCUAUCAUAAUAGACAGACUGACAGACAGCUGUCAAAAAGUAAUGAACACAAAAAAGUAUUUUACAAAUACAAGAUGAAGAGAACAGAGAACACACAGUAUUUUCAUGGCUACCACCCAUUUGAAGAACACACAAAGUGUUUUUGAAGUCAACAGUUUACACUAUUUUUAGAAGUCUCGUCAGGAACUUAUUAAACUAAGUCUGAUAAGGGCUUCACAACACAACACCGGGGAAAACCCGGGUUCCCCGUCCUUGCCAAUGAGACAACAGAGGCAACAUUCACUCUUUCCUCGCCUUGAUCAUCGCAGUCUCUACAAGUAGUCUCACCCACGCACACACCCACACACUCCCUCGCAAAUCGCACUCAAUCCACCCACCUUGUAAAUUAAAAAAUGUAUAAAAUAGCUUUCAUUUGUAUUGCACAAACUAUUCAUAGUAUUGUGAAAAGACAGCGUAAAAUAAAGAUUUUGCUAUUGAAUCAUUUUACUUCCGUGUCAUCGUUAACCUUUAAUAAUCAUAGCCAGUCAGAGAGAGACGGUAAAAUGGUAAUGACAAUAGUUUAGAAACAUGUAAAAAAAUAAAAUAAAUCAGCAAAGAGUUCAGCAAAAAAAAAAAAAAAAAAAAAAAAAAAAGCCAGGUUUGUCUGAUAAGAACGAACUAUUUUGUGGGAUGUUGACAUGUCACCGAAACUUAGUCACAACAAAAGCAAAAGCUAACAUCAUAUCAGAAAAUAGCUCGGUUCGACAUACCUGAGAUGUGAAUGACUUGCCCCAGCCACACGCAAACACACAAACUCAUUCAUGCACAGCAAAGUAAAACAUAGUUUUUAUUUUUCGGGAAAGAGAGGGACUUAUCAGUCACGCACUCCUCUGCACCCAAGGGACAAAAACUAGGUUUUUAGGACUCGCCAGCUAUAUAUAGCUCCGUAUUUCUCAAAAACUGUUUAUUAUCAACCACUCGAGUGACAACCACCAGUGUGCAAAGGUGAUUCGCUCAGGCGUUUCGACCCACCAGUGACUUACACCUGUGGCGAAGGUGACAGCCAGAGUCUUGUGCUGUACGAGUGUUAUAACCAUCGGUUGUCUUUGUCUCCAUCGAGUGGAGUAGAACCAGUCAAGAUGGCGACCUUCCAGCUGAGACUGCUGAUGAGGCUGAUGGUUCUGUGCAGCAUGGUCGUUCUAGCCAAUGGAGGAGUGAGAGGAGGUUCCUACAAAACGUCAUAUAAUUUUGGCUCAUCAAGCAGUGGCGACUCCAGCAGCUCGCUCACGCCAGCAGAGGGCAUUGGCCUCGGGUGUGGCAUCAUUGGGGCAAUCAUCAUAAUCUUCGUUAGUUGCUUUUUCGUGUACUGGUGCAACAAGAAAAUUCCGUCUAAGAUAGUGAAGGGUGUAAUUAUCUCGUAUGACUGCGAAGAUACGGUCACUGGGCUCCCCCCGACUGACAACGAUGCCGUCUCCGACCCUCCAGAGAACAGCACAGUCACUACCCCUCAGCCGGACCCGCCCUCUGAGCCGACAGAACAGGACAACCCUUAUCAAAACUGCUAAGUAGGAAGAGGAAGAGACAGUCACACCCACAUUAUACCAUCAUACAGACGAUACAGUCCCUACACCUGUCAUACAUGAUGGAGAGAAAGUAGAGUAUUGAUGGCUAACUUUUGACCUCAGUUAUCAAAGGUACAGGGUUCUCGCAAGUGACCUGCCAAACAAAACAAAACAAAACAAAACAAAACAAAACAAAACAAAAUUAAAAAAAUAACCCCACCAAAAACCAAAACCCAACCAACCAACCAACCAACCAACCAACCGACCGACCGACCGACCGACCGACCAACCAACCAACCAACCAACCAACCAACCAACCAACCAACCAACCAACCAACCAACCAACCAACCAAAACAUUUUGCACAAAAUACCUUUUUUCACACUGUAAACAUUUAUUCGCACUAUUAUUUCUGAAUGAAUUAAAACUUCUUGACUAUAUUAGUCUUCUCUUCUGUCAUGUUUUUACUUAAUAAUCCUACAAAAUAAAAAAAAAAGUUGCCUUUUUAUUUAAAAAGUCGGAAGUAUUAAAACUACUUUUUAUUUACAGUGGCCAGUUGUAUAAAUACUUCCAGUCUUUCAUCACCAGUUCUAUGCACAUGACAUCAAUCUUGCUGUUGUCGUUUUUAACAAUCAUGCAAUCCAGGGAAAUAGGAAUUUUUAGAGUUGUGAGCACUGCUUGUUUAUUGUUCAUGUAAUAGAUAAUAUUUACAGUAUUGCUAUUUUUAUAUCGAAAUUUCAUUGUUGUUUAUUUUUGAACAAUGUCUAUGCACUAACCGUUGGUCAUGUGGUUUUGUGUUUUUUGGUAGUAAUGACAGUGUUUGAGAACAGAUCAAACGAAGAGACAAACGUUUAAUAAUGAGGUUUGUUAGAGAAAGUUGUCUCCCUGCUUGUUUUUGAGUGAAACUUGGAGAGGAAGGAAAAUAGAACCAGGAAGAAAAAUGAAAACAAAGCGAGCGUAGCUCGUUGCCCCGGGCAACAUGGGGACCCUAAGGACAAGCUUCUUGUUUACGAACUUAUAAAGUGUGUCCUGACCCCGCAGGUGUUGUUUUACCUCUGAGUCUGUCAUUAUAAAGAAGUGGUAAACAUACCCCGGGAUAAAGAAACUGUCUCCGCAGGGUCAGUGCAGCGCAUUGUAAAUACGAAAAUAGAAAAUAGAUAUCUAGCGAUGAAGAAUAUGGGUGUGAGUGUGUUUUGCACCGUGGGUGUGUGUGAUAUAUAUAUAGUAAAAUAAAGUGUGAUAUACAUUUCUUA